UUUCUUCUCUGCUGAGACACUUAGGAGAUAAUUGAACUGUCCUAUGCUGCAUUGAAGGAAUGUAGCCACGAGCGGAUAUGAACUCCAUGGCAACCACAUAUCGACAUCGUCUUUUCAACACCUGGGAAAUGCCAGUGUUAGAGGUCUGCAUAGGGGCUUCUCUCCUUCCAUUUCAAGAUUGGGACAUCAGAUUCUCAUUGCCACUCUAUGAACACCUGGGCUGGUGGUCCUGUGUUCUAUAAUAAAGCAGGCUGAGCUGGUCACAAGGAGCAAGCCAGUAAGCAGCAUUCUUCCAUGGCCUCUGCAUCAGUUCCAGAUUCCAG
rnacentral:lncRNA from 1 species